rnacentral:rRNA from 1 species
UACGUAGGUGGCAAGCGUUACUCGGAAUCACUAGGCGUAAAGCGCAGGUAGGUGGCUUGAUAAGUCUAUUGUGAAAGCUCCCGGCUUAACUGGGAGAGGUCAAUGGAUACUGUUAGGCUUGAGUGUGGUAGGGGAAACUGGAAUUCCUGGUGUAGCGGUGAAAUGCGUAGAUAUCAGGAGGAACACCUAAGGCGAAAGCAGGUUUCUGGGCCAACACUGACACUGAGCUGCGAAAGCUAGGGGAGCAAGCAGG